GAUGAACGCUGGCGGCGUGCUUAAUACAUGCAAGUCGAACGGGCAUCGCAAGGUGCUAGUGGCGAACGGGUGAGAAACGCGUUGGUGACCUGCCUCAAAGAGAGGGAUAACAGAUCGAAAGAUCUGCUAAUACCGCAUGUGUUCACGGUAGUUAGAGAGCCGUGAAGAAAGCCGAAAGGCACUUUGAGAGGGACCUGCGUCCCAUCAGCUAGUUGGUGAGGUAACGGCCCACCAAGGCGAUGACGGGUAGGGGACCUGAGAGGGUGACCCCCCA
rnacentral:rRNA from 1 species